UACGUAGGGCGCAAGCGUUGUCCGGAAUUAUUGGGCGUAAAGAGCUCGUAGGUGGCUUGUCACGUCGGGUGUGAAAGCUUGGGGCUUAACUCCAGGUCUGCAUUCGAUACGGGCUGGCUAGAGGUAGGUAGGGGAGAACGGAAUUCCUGGUGUAGCGGUGAAAUGCGCAGAUAUCAGGAGGAGCACCGGUGGCGAAGGCGGUUCUCUGGGCCUUACCUGACGCUGAGGAGCGAAAGCGUGGGGAGCGAACAGG
rnacentral:rRNA from 1 species